rnacentral:rRNA from 1 species
UACGUAGGCAGCGAGCGUUGUUCGGAGUUACUGGGCGUAAAGCGUGCGCAGGCGGUCUGCUAAGAGAGAUGUGAAAUCCCCGGGCUUAACCUGGGAACUGCGUUUCUAACUGGCAGGCUUGAGUGUGGCAGAGGGGGGUGGAAUUCCACGUGUAGCAGUGAAAUGCGUAGAGAUGUGGAGGAACACCGAUGGCGAAGGCAGCCCCCUGGGCUAACACUGACGCUCAUGCACGAAAGCGUGGGGAGCAAACAGG